CACUUCCUACGGGACGCAGCAGUGGGGAAUAUUGCACAAUGGGGGAAACCCUGAUGCAGCAACGCCGCGUGAGUGAAGGAGUAUUUCGGUAUGUAAAGCUCUAUCAGUAGGGAAGAAGAAAGACGGUACCUGACUAAGAAGCCCCGGCUAACUACGUGCCAGCAGCCGCGGUAAUACGUAGGGGGCAAGCGUUAUCCGGAUUUACUGGGUGUAAAGGGAGCGCAGACGGCUGUGCAAGUCUGGAGUGAAAGGCGGGGGCCCAACCCCCGGACUGCUCUGGAAACUGUAAAGCUGGAGUGCAGGAG
rnacentral:rRNA from 1 species